CAUGCAGUCUCAGUACAGACUAUAUUAAAGUGAAACCGCAAAGGCUCAGUAAACCAGUUUUAAUUUACUAGAGUUAACUUGACUGUGCUUGGAUAACUGUGGUAAUUCUAGAGCUAAUACAUGCAACCAAGCCGUGACCAUUCGUGGUCAGGGCGCUUUUGUUAGACCAAGACCAAUCGCCCGGCCAGUCCGGGCGUUAAGUUGAGGAACCUAGAUAACACAGCAGAUCGCAUGGUCUCCGUACCGGCGACUUAUCUUUCAAAUGCCUGACUUAUCAACUGACGAUGGUAGACUCUGUGUCUACCAUGGCUGUUACGGGUAACGGGGAAUCAGGGUUCGAUUCCGGAGAGGGAGCCUGAGAAACGGCUACCACAUCCAAGGAAGGCAGCAGGCACGCAAAUUACCCACUCCCGGAACGGGGAGGUAGUGACAAAAAAUAACGAUACGGGACUCGAUAUGAGGCCUCGUAAUCGGAAUGAGUACACUCUAAAUCCUUUAACAAAAAUCUAUUGGAGGGCAAGUCUGGUGCCAGCAGCCGCGGUAAUUCCAGCUCCAAUAGCGUAUAUUAAAGUUGUUGCGGUUAAAAAGCUCGUAGUUGGUUCUGCGUCCCGCGCUGUCGGUACACCGUUUGUCGGUGACACUGGCAUGACGCGGGAUGUCCUGUCGGUGGCGGCGGAGACCAUAUCGCCGUCGGAUAACACCGCGGCGUGUUGGCCUUCUGUCGCCGGCUAUAUCCUACCGCGGUGCUCUUCACUGAGUGUCGAGGUAGGCCGACACGUUUACUUUGAACAAAUUAGAGUGCUUAAAGCAGGCAAAAAUCUCUGCCAGAAUAGUGGUGCAUGGAAUAAUGGAACAGGACCUUGGUUCUAUUCUGUUGGUCUCCGGAACACAAGGUAAUGAUCAAUGUGGACAGGCGGGGGCAUUCGUAUUGCGGCGUUAGAGGUGAAAUUCUUGGAUCGUCGCAAGACGCACUAGAGCGAAAGCAAUUGCCAAGUAUGUCUUGAGCUUUCCCCGGGAAACCAAAGCUUUUGGGUUCCGGGGGAAGUAUGGUUGCAAAGCUGAAACUUAAAGGAAUUGACGGAAGGGCACCACCAGAAGUGGAGCCUGCGGCUUAAUUUGACUCAACACGGGAAACCUCACCAGGUCAGGACAUUGGAAUGAUUGACAGAUUGAUAGCUCUUUCUUGAUUCAGUGGGUAGUGGUGCAUGGCCGUUCUUAGUUGGUGGAUCGAUUUGUCUGGUUAAUUCCGAUAACGAACGAGACUCUAGCCUAUUAACUAGACGCGUUUGGUAUCGAAUCUACCGGCGAACAAUAUUCUUCUUAAGGGGACAGGCGGCUUUUAGCCGCACGAGAUUGAGCAAUAACAGGUCUGUGAUGCCCUUAGAUGUCCUGGGCCGCACGCGCGCUACACUGAAGGAAUCAGCGUGUGCGUUCCCUUGGCCGAAAGGUCCGGGUAACCCGCUGAACCUCCUUCGUGCUAGGAAUUGGGGCUUGCAAUUGUUCCCCAUGAACGAGGAAUUCCCAGUAAGCGCGAGUCAUAAGCUCGCGUUGAUUACGUCCCUGCCCUUUGUACACACCGCCCGUCGCUACUACCGAUUGAAUGAUUUAGUGAGGUCUUCGGACUGGCGGUAAGCCCAACCGACUUUGUCGGUUUUGUCGAACGCUGGAAAGAUGACCAAACUUGAUCAUUUAGAGGAAGUAAAAGUCGUAACAAGGUUUCCGUA
rnacentral:rRNA from 1 species